AGCCCCUAAAACAAUUUUCAAUAAAUUAUUUAUUGUCCAAGUUUUAGACUGUGUUACUUUUCCCUUUUUAUCUUUUUCAUCUUUAAACAUCCUUAGUCACUUAUGGAUGUGAUUUUUGACCCAAACUGUAUUUCUUUUUAUAAUAGCAUUUCAUCACAUUUACAAUUGUCAGAAAACAUACAUUCAGUCUUCUGCCAUCUUAAUAAUUUAUAUAUAUAUGUGUGUAUGUGUGUGUGUGUGUGUGUGUAUGUGUGUAUGGCUAGGGGGAGAGAGAGAGAGUGAAUAAGAAAGAUACAUGUAGCAAAAUGUUAAAAAGGAGUCAAUCUGGAUAAAAGAUAUGCAGUUGACCAUUGAACAAUGCAGGGGUCAGGGGAACCCACUGCCUGUGCAGUUGAAAAUUUGCAUAUAACUUUUGACUCCCCAGAAACUUAAGUACUAAUAGCCUACCACUGACUGGAAGCCUUACCAAUAACAGUUGACUAACACAUAUUCUGCAUUUUAUAUGUAUUACAUAUACUGUAUUCUUACAAUAGAGCUAGA